CAGCACCUCAAGUGGUCAGGAUGAUUAUUGGGCCUAAAGCAUCCGUAGCCGGCGCUGUAAGUUUUCGGUUAAAUCUGUAUGCUCAACAUACAGGCUGCCGGGAAUACUGCAGAGCUAGGGAGUGGGAGAGGUAGACGGUACUCGGUAGGAAGGGGUAAAAUCCUUUGAUCUAUUGAUGACCACCUGUGGCGAAGGCGGUCUACCAGAACACGUCCGACGGUGAGGGAUGAAAGCUCGGGGAGCAAACCGGAUUAGAUACCCGAGUAGUCC
rnacentral:rRNA from 1 species